GUUGUAUAGUUAAGUGACUAAGCGUACAAGGUGGAUGCCUUGGCAAUCAGAGGCGAAGAAGGACGUGCUAAUCUGCGAAAAGCUUGGAUGAGUCGAUAAGAGGCGUUUAAUCCAAGAUAUCCGAAUGGGGAAACCCAGUAGAUGAAGAAUCUACUAUUAACAAGUGAAUUCAUAGCUUGUUGAGGCAAACCGGGAGAACUGAAACAUCUAAGUACCCCGAGGAAAAGAAAUCAACCGAGAUUUCGUCAGUAGCGGCGAGCGAAAGCGAAAGAGCCAGUAAGUGAUAGCAGUAUAGUUAGGAGAAUGUGUUGGGAAACACAAUCAAAGAGGGUGAUAAUCCCGUAUCUAAAAACCAUAUUGUGGUACUAAGCUAACGAGAAGUAGGGCGGGACACGUGAUAUCCUGUUUGAAGAAGGGGGGACCAUCCUCCAAGGCUAAAUACUCCUGAUUGACCGAUAGUGAACCAGUACUGUGAAGGAAAGGCGAAAAGAACCCCGGUGAGGGGAGUGAAAUAGAACCUGAAACCUUGUACGUACAAGCAGUGGGAGCCUGAAAGGGUGACUGCGUACCUUUUGUAUAAUGGGUCAGCGACUUAUAUUUUGUAGCGAGGUUAACCGAAUAGGGGAGCCGAAGGGAAACCGAGUCUUAACUGGGCGAAGAGUUGCAAGGUAUAGACCCGAAACCCGGUGAUCUAGCCAUGGGCAGGUUGAAGGUUGGGUAACACUAACUGGAGGACCGAACCGACUAAUGUUGAAAAAUUAGCGGAUGACUUGUGGCUGGGGGUGAAAGGCCAAUCAAACCGGGAGAUAGCUGGUUCUCCCCGAAAUCUAUUUAGGUAGAGCCUUGAGGUGACACCUUUGGGGGUAGAGCACUGUUUCGGCUAGGGGUCCAUCCCGGAUUACCAACCCGAUGCAAACUACGAAUACCAAAGAGUGAUACUCAGGAGACACACGGCGGGUGCUAACGUCCGUCGUGGAGAGGGAAACAACCCAGACCGCCAGCUAAGGUCCCCAAGUCUAUAUUAAGUGGGAAACGAAGUGGGAAGGCUUAGACAGCUAGGAUGUUGGCUUAGAAGCAGCCAUCAUUUAAAGAAAGCGUAAUAGCUCACUAGUCGAGUCGGCCUGCGCGGAAGAUGUAACGGGGCUGAAAUAUAGCACCGAAGCUGCGGCAUCAGACGAAAGUCUGUUGGGUAGGGGAGCGUUCUGUAAGCGGAUGAAGGUUAAUCGAGAGGUUAGCUGGACGUAUCAGAAGUGCGAAUGCUGACAUAAGUAACGAUAAAACGGGUGAAAAACCCGUUCGCCGGAAGACCAAGGGUUCCUGUCCAACGUUAAUCGGGGCAGGGUGAGUCGGCCCCUAAGGCGAGGCUGAAAAGCGUAGUCGAUGGGAAACAGGUUAAUAUUCCUGUACUUGGUAAAGCUGCGAUGUGGGGACGGAGUAGGUUAGGUUAUCGCACUGUUGGAUAUGUGCGUUUAAGUUGGUAGGUGGGAAGUUUAGGCAAAUCCGGACUUCUAUUAAACACUGAGAGAUGAUGACGAGGCUCUAAGGAGCUGAAGUAACUGAUACCACACUUCCAGGAAAAGCCACUAAGCGACAGGCUUUACUAAACCGUACUGAAAACCGACACAGGUGGUCAGGUAGAGAAUACUCAGGCGCUUGAGAGAACUCGGGUGAAGGAACUAGGCAAAAUAGCACCGUAACUUCGGGAGAAGGUGCGCCGGCGUAGAUUGUAGAGAUUUACUCUCGAAGGUUGAACCGGUCGAAGAUACCAGCUGGCUGCAACUGUUUAUUAAAAACACAGCACUCUGCAAACACGAAAGUGGAGGUAUAGGGUGUGAUGCCUGCCCGGUGCUGGAAGGUUAAUUGAUGGUGUAAUCGAAAGAGAAGCACCUGAUCGAAGCCCCAGUAAACGGCGGCCGUAACUAUAACGGUCCUAAGGUAGCGAAAUUCCUUGUCGGGUAAGUUCCGACCUGCACGAAUGGCAUAAUGAUGGCCAGGCUGUCUCCACCCGAGACUCAGUGAAAUUGAAAUCGCCGUGAAGAUGCGGUGUACCCGCGGCUAGACGGAAAGACCCCGUGAACCUUUACUAUAGCUUGACACUGAACAUUGAAUUUUGAUGUGUAGGAUAGGUGGGAGACUUAGAAGUAGUCACGCCAGUGAUUAUGGAGUCAUCCUUGAAAUACCACCCUUUAACGUUUGAUGUUCUAACGAAGAUUGCGGAACGCGGUCUCGGACAGUGUCUGGUGGGUAGUUUGACUGGGGCGGUCUCCUCCCAAAGCGUAACGGAGGAGCACGAAGGUUUGCUAAUCACGGUCGGACAUCGUGAGGUUAGUGCAAUGGUAUAAGCAAGCUUAACUGCGAGACAGACAAGUCGAGCAGGUACGAAAGUAGGUCAUAGUGAUCCGGUGGUUCUGAAUGGAAGGGCCAUCGCUCAACGGAUAAAAGGUACUCCGGGGAUAACAGGCUGAUACCGCCCAAGAGUUCAUAUCGACGGCGGUGUUUGGCACCUCGAUGUCGGCUCAUCACAUCCUGGGGCUGAAGUAGGUCCCAAGGGUAUGGCUGUUCGCCAUUUAAAGUGGUACGCGAGCUGGGUUUAGAACGUCGUGAGACAGUUCGGUCCCUAUCUGCCGUGGGCGUAGGAGAAUUGGUUGGGGCUGCUCCUAGUACGAGAGGACCGGAGUGGACGCACCACUGGUGUUCCGGUUGUGUCGCCAGACGCAUUGCCGGGUAGCUAAGUGCGGAAGAGAUAAGUGCUGAAAGCAUCUAAGCACGAAACUUGCCAAGAGAUGAGUUCUCCCUGUCUUUAAGACAGUAAGGGUUGUUUAAGACGAAGACGUAGAUAGGUCUGGUGUGUAAGUGAUGUGAGUCAUUGAGCUAACAGAUACUAAUUGCCCGAGAGGCUUAACUAUACAACGCUCAAG
rnacentral:rRNA from 1 species